rnacentral:sRNA from 1 species
UAUUUUGUUUUCCAACAUCAUAAUCUUUGCAGAAUUCUUAGGUUAUGGUGAGAGCCACCUGUUUUUAUUGAGUAGGUUGGCCAGAGCCUCUUCUCAGCCAUUUUCAUGUAACACGGGUCUUUCACUGAGAAAUCUGGGUCAUGCACAAUCCAGCAACGGACUGAAACGGCCCUGGCAUUCUGCAGACGCUGUGGGGCCUGGGUCCACUGGGCCUGGUGCUUGGUCGCUGCCCGCUCCUCUUUCCCUUCCACAGCCCGGGGUCCGUCUGCAUUUUGUGGAGCUGGGCUCCGGCCCUGCUGUGUGCCUCUGCCAUGGAUUUCCCGAGAGCUGGUAUUCUUGGAGGUACCAGAUCCCUGCUCUGGCCCAGGCAGGUUACCGGGUCCUAGCUAUGGACAUGAAAGGCUAUGGAGAGUCAUCUGCUCCUCCCGAAAUAGAAGAAUAUUGCAUGGAAGUGUUAUGUAAGGAGAUGGUAACCUUCCUGGAUAAACUGGGCCUCUCUCAAGCAGUGUUCAUUGGCCAUGACUGGGGUGGCAUGCUGGUGUGGUACAUGGCUCU